rnacentral:ncRNA from 1 species
GAAGUUUCCCUCAGGAUAGCUGAAGUACGUAAUGAAGCUGUUAUAUUCGGUAAAGCGAAUGAUCAGAGGAAUUGUGGUACGAAACGUCUUCAACCUAUUCUCAAACUUUCGAUGAGUCUGACGUCUUGCUUGCUUGAAUGAAGCGUAGACAUUGAAUGUGUGCUCCAAUUGGGCCAUUUUUGGUAUACGAAAAUGGCGCUGUGAGAUGAACCAAACGUUGAGUUGAAGUAUGAAUAUAUAGAAAUUAUCAAUAUUUAAUCACUAUAAUAAGACUACUUAUAAAGUA